GACGAACGCUGGCGGCGUGCCUAAUACAUGCAAGUAGAACGCUGAAGGAGGAGCUUGCUUCUUCGGAUGAGUUGCGAACGGGUGAGUAACGCGUAGGUAACCUGCCUGGUAGCGGGGGAUAACUAUUGGAAACGAUAGCUAAUACCGCAUAACAGUAGAUGUUGCAUGACAUUUGCUUAAAAGGUGCAAUUGCAUCACUACCAGAUGGACCUGCGUUGUAUUAGCUAGUUGGUGGGGUAACGGCUCACCAAGGCGACGAUACAUAGCCGACCUGAGAGGGUGAUCGGCCACACUGGGACUGAGACACGGCCCAGACUCCUACGGGAGGCAGCAGUAGGGAAUCUUCGGCAAUGGACGGAAGUCUGACCGAGCAACGCCGCGUGAGUGAAGAAGGUUUUCGGAUCGUAAAGCUCUGUUGUAAGAGAAGAACGAGUGUGAGAGUGGAAAGUUCACACUGUGACGGUAUCUUACCAGAAAGGGACGGCUAACUACGUGCCAGCAGCCGCGGUAAUACGUAGGUCUCGAGCGUUGUCCGGAUUUAUUGGGCGUAAAGCGAGCGCAGGCGGUUAGAUAAGUCUGAAGUUAAAGGCUGUGGCUUAACCAUAGUACGCUUUGGAAACUGUUUAACUCGAGUGCAAGAGGGGAGAGUGGAAUUCCAUGUGUAGCGGUGAAAUGCGUAGAUAUAUGGAGGAACACCGGUGGCGAAAGCGGCUCUCUGGCUUGUAACUGACGCUGAGGCUCGAAAGCGUGGGGAGCAAACAGG
rnacentral:rRNA from 1 species